UCACUGCUUGCGCAGGCAGUCUCGCUAGAGUCCCCGGCAUAACCCGCUGGUAACUAGCGAUAGGGGUUGCGUUCGUUGCGGGACUUAACCCAACAUCUCACGACACGAACUGACGACAGCCAUGCAGCACCUCACCAAGUGUCCGAAGAAGGCUCCCUUUCAGGAGCUGUCACUUGAUGUUCGAGCCUGGGUAAGGUUCUUCGCGUUGCAUCGAAUUAAUCCACAUGCUCCACCGCUUGUGCGGGCCCCCGUCAAUUCCUUUGAGUUUCACCCUUGCGAGCGUACUCCCCAGGUGGGAUGCUUAACGCGUUAGCUUAGACAGUGCAUCUAAAUCGACGCACCACCGAGCAUCCAUAGUUUACGGCGUGGACUAC
rnacentral:misc_RNA from 1 species